rnacentral:misc_RNA from 1 species
GAAAUGCGAUAAGUAAUGUGAAUUGCAGAAUUCAGUGAAUCAUCGAAUCUUUGAACGCACAUUGCGCCCACCAGUAUUCUGGCGGGCAUGCCUGUUCGAGCGUCAUUUCAACCAUCAAGCCCCCCGGCUUGUGUUGGGGACCUGCGGCUGCCGCAGGCCCUGAAAAGCAGUGGCGGGCUCGCUGUCACACCGAGCGUAGUAGCAUACAUCUCGCUCUGGGCGUGCUGCGGGUUCCGGCCGUUAAACCACCUUCGUAACCCAAGGUUGACCUCGGAUCAGGUAGGAAGACCCGCUGAACUUAAGC